GUUAGGUUCUGUCAAUAGAAGAUACUAAAGAAAGAAAGCCAGGAGAAGAAAAGAGACUUCUUUCUUCAAGGUCUAAGCUGUUCUAAUAGCAUUAUUCUGGGAAUGGCAUCUUCCACUCCUCCUAGUACAAAGAACCUGCUUCCUCAUACCCCGUCAAGGAACUGCAGCAUCCAGAAUACAUUCAUACCUAACACCUCAAUAGAUGACAUGGUAUCCAUGGAAUCGAGUUCAAAGCCCUCUGUAACGUGGCUAUAUCCCAUCUACUCUGAGCUGAUGUUCAGCAGGUGAUGGCCACAGUGGCAGAACCUAGGAAGCCAAGAAGAAACCAGAGAAUGGAGACACAUGGCAGCAAUGGCAAGUCAUCAGACCCAGGAUUUCCCAAAGAACACUGGUCCAGGAAGAUGCUCUGUGAAAAAGUGUUCCCUGGUCAGAGAAAUUUGUGAAACACUUUGCAUACUUAAAAGAAUGUAUGGCACAUCAAAGGUAAUAUGCAAUAAAAGAAUUCAUUUUUUAAAAACCAA
rnacentral:lncRNA from 1 species